UAGAGACUGUAUUUCAAAUGUCUGGCCAGUUGUAAGAGCUCAUUGGGUAUAAUUUCCCAGCAGGCUCAUAGCUUUUAUUUGAGUCUCUUAGGAUCAUUGUGUUAACAUUGUCGGGGCGGUGGGCGGGAAAGGAAGGCUGACUCACUCCUUUUCCAUUUGGCAAUGAAGAUCAGUGAAAGCUCAGUGAAGCCAAAGGUCACAGAAAAAUGGUGUGAUUAGAACACAAUAUCCAUUGUAUUCUAAGUGCCUAGGCCUGGGCUGGGUAUUCUGGAGAAUACAGAGGUAAACCAACUUGUGAACUGACCUUCUCUGUUGGUUUCUACUUUGCUGCACUAGUGGGUUUGCGCCUCUAUGACCCCAGGCUUGGCUCUGAUCCUCACUCCGGAUCUUGCUCCUGAUCUCUGGAGUGGUAGAAAUAAUCCAGCCCACACGUUUUAACUUGAAUGGAUUUCUGUAAGUGACUGCAUCUCUUUGAUCUGAGGCUCCUGUCUGCAAGGACAAGAACGAUGUAAUUGGAACCACCAAUGGCAGACACAGAAAGAAAACAGGAUUGACAAGCUGGCACCAUGUGAGCCCAUGAGAGCCAAACCAUGGCAAGGGGAUUGCAGAGAGUCAGAUUCUCCACUGAGCCCUGCCCCGGCAGGAAGGCAAGCUCCAGUCAAGGGUGGAACAAGGUGACGCCCACGUUCAGCCAUAGGAAGCUCGCACAUCUCCUGCCACCAGCCACGACAGCCCCCGUCCUGCACAGGCAGGCCCGAAUCUUGGGAAACACAAUGGCUGCCGCCAUCACAGUUAUAGAUAUUCACAGGUCUCAGAGAAGCCCAAAUGCAAUCCUAGCUGACACGAUAACGGAUAUUUAGCAGGGAGUGGAGAGCCCAGGGAAGAAUACUGUGAUGCUGAUGGGGAAUAUUGAUGGUAAGUGCUAAAAACAAGACUUGCCUCCUUGUGGUAGGACUGGCCCCAUGGAAGAUACCCGUGUUUCAUGUUUUUACAUCAUCAGACUCCCAGUUUGCAGAUAGUGGCACGUGGUGACACCUCCUCACUGUGUGAUCCAGGGGCCUUCCCUGAUGUGGUCCUGGAUGUUUCUGUACUGAUGGCCUCACUCCCCUGGCUGCUUGGCUCUGUACUGGGAUUUUCAUCUCAGGAUGUGUGAAACCAGCCUGAAGACAGUUCUUGUAAAAAUGUCCUUGAAACCAUGAAAUUGGCGCAAGACCGAUCAGAACUGAGAUAGGAAAGUCACUCAAAGAACUCGAAAGCCUACCAGGCCAGAAAGGGUGGUCUACGACUUAAUUGGUUGUAUCAACCCAUGUAAGCAAGGACUAUGUCCUUCAGAAAUGGAUGAACGAGAAUGGAAAGCUGGAGGAAGGAGAGACAGUCACACAUGGGCAGUGCUCAUCAGGAAGGGCUCUGCUUGGCAACAGUGCGUCUGAUCCACCUGUCAGGUAUAUCCUUAUUUUGAAGGUGAGACUUCCUGGGAUUUUGGAGACUGAUGCUAAACUCUGAGCUCCAAGAAAGCAGGAACAAUGUAUCUAACUUGUUCACAGGGCCUCAUGCAAUGUAGGUAUUUGAUGAGUGUUUGUGGAAUGAACUCAUUGACUCUUUUAACAUUCAAAUCUUUCAUAUAUGCAUAUAAAUACAGAAG
rnacentral:lncRNA from 10 species